UACGUAGGGUGCAAGCGUUGUCCGGAAUUAUUGGGCGUAAAGAGCUCGUAGGCGGUUUGUCGCGUCUGCUGUGAAAUUUCGGGGCUCAACCCCGAACUUGCAGUGGGUACGGGCAGACUAGAGUGUGGUAGGGGAGACUGGAAUUCCUGGUGUAGCGGUGAAAUGCGCAGAUAUCAGGAGGAACACCGAUGGCGAAGGCGGGUCUCUGGGCCGAUACUGACGCUGAGGAGCGAAAGCGUGGGGAGCGAACAGG
rnacentral:rRNA from 1 species